UGGCUCAGAACGAACGCUGGCGGCAUGCCUUACACAUGCAAGUCGAGCGGCAGCGCGGGGGCAACCCUGGCGGCGAGCGGCGCACGGGUGAGUAAUGCAUCGGAACGUGUCCUCUUGUGGGGGAUAACCAGUCGAAAGACUGGCUAAUACCGCAUGAGCUCGCGAGAGGAAAGCAGGGGACCGCAAGGCCUUGCGCGAGAGGAGCGGCCGAUGCCGGAUUAGCUAGUUGGCGGGGUAAUGGCCCACCAAGGCGACGAUCCGUAGCUGGUCUGAGAGGACGACCAGCCACACUGGGACUGAGACACGGCACGGACUCCUACGGGAGGCAGCAGUGGGG
rnacentral:rRNA from 1 species